rnacentral:rRNA from 1 species
AUUGAACGCUGGCGGCGUGCCUAACACAUGCAAGUCGAGCGGUAACAGGUGUAGCAAUACAUGCUGACGAGCGGCGGACGGGUGAGUAACGCUUGGGAAUCUGCCUAUUAGUGGGGGGACAACCCGGGGAAACUCGGGCUAAUACCGCAUACGCUCUACGGAGGAAAGCCGGGGACCGCAAGGCCUGGCGCUAAUAGAUGAGCCCAAGUCGGAUUAGCUAGUUGGUAGGGUAAUGGCCUACCAAGGCGACGAUCCGUAACUGGUCUGAGAGGACGACCAGUCACACCGGAACUGAGACACGGUCCGGACUCCUACGGGAGGCAGCAGUGGGGAAUAUUGGACAAUGGGCGAAAGCCUGAUCCAGCGACGCCGCGUGGGUGAAGAAGGCCUGCGGGUUGUAAAGCCCUUUCAGUGGGGAAGAAAAGCCUCGACCUAACACGUCGGGGUCUUGACGUAACCCAUAGAAGAAGCACCGGCUAACUCUGUGCC